AUUCAUCUGUGUUGUUACUUUUCGUAUAUAAGAGUGGACCUUCAUCAUAUCGAUACUAUACAAGGUUCCUUCAAGGAGAUCAACGAGUGACUGCAACUAGAUCAAGACCAGAAAAAAAACGUACUUUGUACGGGAAUGUGGACAACAUGGAAAGUCAGUUGCCUUAUUCUGUGACUUAAAUGUCUAGCAUCCAGUCAGCCACUUUGACAGCUCAUCUGAAAGGGAUCCUGUAUUUCUGGACAAGACAUUUUUUUUCUAUCAGUAUCCUGGAUUGCUAUAUCAGGUAGUUUCUUCUUGGCCAUGUCCUUAAUCUGUCUGUCAUCCCACCCCAGUGUUCACCUCCAUCAAGUUGUAUGCAGCCCAUCUUCCAUGUGGUUAAGUAAAUAUUUAUUUCCAAUCUGCAGAUACAUUUGUGUUGUUAUAUGUAAUAUCUUAACUUCAAAUUGUAGAUUAGCUUAAAAGUCUUCAUUUAUCCCCCACGAUUGUCUAACUGGUGAACCAAACAUGUUACAUCCUCAGUGAUGUUAUUUGAGGAUUGCUGCUGACUUAACUUUAUCACUAAUUCUUCCCUGGAAACAAUAAUUCAAACAUUUCACUUGAACUUGUGUCAUCACAUCAUCAAAUUUGAACCUGCUAUUGCAAUUUCCAUACCAAACUGUGUUGAUACUCAAACAUUUCAGUUAAAUAUUGACCAGUGAGCUCAAGUGGGUUACUUUGCUCAUUCAUUUUCUCUUCAUUUUCAUGUUCUCACAAAUAUUGCUGGUUUCUGAUAUUUGAAUUUUCUUCAGGGAUUAUAGGAGUAGAAAACAUUUCUAUGAAUUCUGUAUAGUCACAAAUUUCCAUUUUGUUGACAGUACGAAAUAAUUUCCUUAUUGGUAAACAAAUUGUAUUCUUUUUAGGCAUCUAAGAAGGCCAUUUAAAUAGGUCCCCUAAUCCUAAAACAGCUAUUUUGUGACCGGCUUAUUUUUGACUUGGUGUAAUACAGUCUCUCUUGACUUAUUCACUGUCCAUUGAAACAAGGUGAACUACUUCUGCUACUUCAAAAAUGUUGAGGCCAAGACAUGCAUAUGCUCAUGAGUUAAGUUUCUUGUUUAUGAAUUACGUAUGCAUUCUCUACUAUUAUGCACCAUUUGUGUUGCAUGUUACUUUUAUCUUGAGAGCUGUCCCACCUCGAGCAUGUAGUUUCAUUGCUGUAGACUAAGUUCUGCUUCUUUAACCAUAGUAAGCUAUUUGAACAUAACAGUACUUGUCCAUGUUUAAAGCUUAAAAUUAACGAGGUGCUCAUUGACAGGAACAUGGUCUGACAAACUUGAGUUUUUUGGAUCACCAAUUUCUCAUAAAAAUGCAUUGGGCAUCUUAUUAAUGAUGGUGGUCCUAUCACAUUAAAUUCUUUGUGUGAGUUUUAAUGCUCUGUGACUGUGCUCUGCUUCUACUCAUCUUCUGGAUUGACCUACAGUUUUAGAGAGAUCACAUUCUUUUUUAAUACCCGGGCUCUGCUUGUCCUUGUGAUGCUUCCUUAUUCCACAGAACUAACACUGAAUGUUAUCAUCUACUGUUUGGCCUCUACUUUUUGAUGGAUCAUCACGAGUGUCUUUAGGGUUUUUAAACCUUACAAACUGAACAGGUACUGUUUGCUCUUCUAUGAUAUAUAUGUCCUUCUCAUAGGAGAUUUCUCUGUGAUAUUUCAUGCUUUCAGCUUCUAGCAUAAUCUGAACAGA